rnacentral:rRNA from 1 species
UACGGGGGGAGCAAGCGUUGUUCGGAUUUACUGGGCGUAAAGGGCGCGUAGGCGGUCAGCACAAGUCAGUUGUGAAAUCUCCGGGCUUAACUCGGAAAGGUCAACUGAUACUGUGCGACUAGAGUGCAGAAGGGGCAACUGGAAUUCUCGGUGUAGCGGUGAAAUGCGUAGAUAUUGAGAGGAACACCAGUGGCGUAAGCGGCUAUCUGGACCGACAUUGACGCUGAGGCACGAAAGCGUGGGGAUCAAACAGG